GUGAACGAGCGACGCCGCGUGCAGGAUGAAGGCCUUCGGGUCGUAAACCACUGUCAAGGGGGAUGAAAGGCGUCGGUACUAAUAACACCGAUGUCGCGCCUGACAAAACCCUAGAGGAAGCACCGGCUAACUCCGUGCCAGCAGCCGCGGUAAUACGGAGGGUGCUAACGUUGUUCGGAUUCAUUGGGCUUAAAGGGCACGUAGGCGGCCGAUUAAGUCGGAUGUGAAAUCCCUCGGCUCAACCGAGGAACGGCAUUCGAAACUGGUCGGCUCGAGUGGAGAAGGGGAGAGCGGAACUUCUGGUGGAGCGGUGAAAUGCGUAGAUAUCAGAAGGAACGCCGGUGGCGAAAGCGGCUCUCUGGUCUCCUACUGACGCUGAGGUGCGAAAGCCAGGGGAGCAAACGGGAUUAGAUACCCCGGUAGUCCUGGCCGUAAACGAU
rnacentral:rRNA from 1 species